rnacentral:rRNA from 1 species
AAUGAACGCUGGCGGCAGGCCUAACACAUGCAAGUCGAACGGAUCCUUCGGGAUUAGUGGCGGACGGAUGAGUAACGCGUGGGAACGUGCCCUUUGGUUCGGAAUAGCCUCGGGAAACUGGGAGUAAUACCGGAUAAGCCCUUCGGGGGAAAGAUUUAUCGCCAAAGGAUCGGCCCGCGUUGGAUUAGGUAGUUGGUGGGGUAAUGGCCUACCAAGCCGACGAUCCAUAGCUGGUUUGAGAGGAUGAUCAGCCACACUGGGACUGAGACACGGCCCAGACUCCUACGGGAGGCAGCAGUGGGGAAUCUUAGACAAUGGGGGAAACCCUGAUCUAGCCAUGCCGCGUGAUCGAUGAAGGCCUUAGGGUUGUAAAGAUCUUUCAGUUGGGAAGAUAAUGACGGUACCAACAGAGGAAGCCCCGGCUAACUCCGUGCCAGCAGCCGCAGUAACAC